rnacentral:rRNA from 1 species
CGGCGAGUGAAGCGGCAAUAGCUCAAAUUUGAAAGCUGGCGCCUUCGGCGUCCGCGUUGUAAUUUGUAGAGGAUGCUUCGGCGAGGACUCCUGCCUAAGUUCCCUGGAAUGGGACGUCACAGAGGGUGAGAAUCCCGUAUGUGGCGGGCGGUCCAAGCCAUGUGAAGCUCCUUCGACGAGUCGAGUUGUUUGGGAAUGCAGCUCUAAAUGGGAGGUAAAUUUCUUCUAAAGCUAAAUACCGGCCAGAGACCGAUAGCGCACAAGUAGAGUGAUCGAAAGAUGAAAAGCACUUUGGAAAGAGAGUUAAAAAGUACGUGAAAUUGUUGAAAGGGAAGCGCUUGCAACCAGACUCGCUCGCAGUUGCUCAGCCCGCCUCCUGGCGGGCGUACUCUUCUGCGGUCGGGCCAGCAUCAGUUCGGGCGGCUGGAUAAAGGUGUCGGGAAUGUAGCACCCUUCGGGGUGUGUUAUAGCCCGGCGCGGAAUGCAGCCAGCCUGGACUGAGGAUCUCGCUUCGGCAAGGAUGCUGGCGUAAUGGUUGUAAGCGGCCCGUCUUGAAACACGGACCAAGGAGUCUAACAUCUAUGCGAGUGUUUGGGUGUCAAACCCAUGCGCGUAAUGAAAGUGAACGGAGGUGGGAACCCGCAAGGGUGCACCAUCGACCGAUCCUGAUGUCUUCGGAUGGAUUUGAGUAAGAGCAUAGCUGUUGGGACCCGAAAGAUGGUGAACUAUGCCUGAAUAGGGUGAAGCCAGAGGAAACUCUG